rnacentral:misc_RNA from 1 species
GAUGAAGAACGUAGCGAAAUGCGAUAAGUAAUGCGAAUUGCAGAAUUCAGUGAAUCAUCGAAUCUUUGAACGCACAUUGCGCCCGCCAGUAUUCUGGCGGGCAUGCCUGUCUGAGCGUCGUUUCGACCCUCGCGCCCGGCUUCUGUCGGGGGCGGUGUUGGGGAUCGGCCACACCCUUCAGUGGGAGGCGGGCCCCUAAAUUCAGUGGCGACCACGCUGUAGCCUCCCCUGCGUAGUACUAAAACCACCUCGCAGGCGGAGAGCGGUGCGGCCCGCCGUAAAACCCCCCAACUUUUACAAGGUCGACCUCAGAUCAGGUAGGAAUACCCGCUGAACUUAAGCAUAUCAAUAGCGGGGA